rnacentral:lncRNA from 1 species
AUUCGGCUGCUAUCAGCCCCUUGCGUAAAGGCCAGGGGAGCGUUUUAUCUGCCGUUGAGCGCAGCAGAUGGGGAAGCAGCCGGCACUCCCUCCUGUCCCGCUCCUUUUCCAGCACCCCUGCCCCGUGGCCCUCGCGUGACCUCCCCCCCUCUGAAAACCGCCGCUUUCCUGCAGAGCGGUGCAGGGCAGAGCUUGCUGCGCCCAGGAAAGCUGCCGGCCCCGCUGGAGGAGGCAGACGUUGCCCCUGCCGGAGCGCAGCCCCGGGACCCCAGGCUCCCGAGCUCCUCCUGGGCCUGUGCCGCAUCCUCCAGCAGUGACCCCGCCAGGCGUGCAGGCCGCGGAGAGCCGGGUCCCCGGGCGUUCGGGUGGAAUCCUCCCAGCUUCUCUCAAAUCAGAGCGGCAGAGCCAGGAGAGGGGACCGGGGCACAGAGGCUCGUGGGGACGGGCGGCCCUUGCACGAGGCCGCUCCUCGCACGUUUAGGUCUCGCGUUGCGCAGGGAGGCAGCAGCAUCUGGGGGCCGGUGCAGAGGUCGGCGCGGGGGUCCCGCCGCCCUGCGGGGGGUGAAGCGUGCCCCUCAGCGCUGGGCUCAGCCGCAGAGCCCCGGCCGGGACCGCUUUCACACCCCAGGCAGCCAAGAAACGGCUGCAGGGGCCUGCAGAGGCCCAGCGGGCGGCUGGCAGCAGGGGACGGCGGCCGGGGGCGCUCGGGGUGGCCGCUGCCCACCGGGACCCGGGGCCGCCUGCGGCCUGGGAAACCGCCCCGGGGCCGUGCCCCACGGCCGCUCGGUGCCUGCCGGGCCGAGGCCGGGCCGCGGGGGGUCCCCACCGGGGCCGCCCCCNNNNNNNNNNNNNNNNNNNNNNNNNGGCCGCGCCCCAGCCGCUGGGCCCCGGGGGAACGGGGACGAGCGGGGCCGCCGAGGCGGGGGCCGGCGUCGUGCGGCAGCCGGGGAGGGCAGGGCGGCUGCGGGAGAACAAAGAUGCGGGGAGGGGACGGUGAGGGCAGCCCGAGGCCCGCCGCCAUCUCCCCCAGCCCCGGGGCACCUGGCGCGGGGCUCUCCCCUCCUCUGGCUGCCGAGGGGGGCUCCGGUGCCGGGGGUGCGAGGGGACCCUAACCCCAACGCGGCCCCCUGCCCCGAGCGGGGCCCCGGCCCCAGCAGGGGGCUCGGCCAGGGGCAGCGAGGAGAAGUGGGGGGGGCACGGGGCGAAGGGCGCGGGAGGCUGGCGCGGGACGUGGGGCCGAAGGGGCCUGUGAAGUGUGAGCGGGGGGCACGGGAGGAAAGGGGGGGCCGAGGAGAGGAGGGAGACAAAGGGCUGCGGGGAGGAAGGAGGCAGGUGGGAAGCGAGGGGGAGAAACGGACAAGAGGGGUUGGAGAGCACCGAAGGUGGUUGGGAAGGUGGGAGAAAGGGGAGCAAAAGCUGUAG